rnacentral:rRNA from 1 species
CCUACGGGGAGCAGCAGUGGGGAAUAUUGGGCAAUGGGCGCAAGCCUGACCCAGCAACGCCGCGUGAAGGAAGAAGGCUCUCGGGUUGUAAAAUUCUUUUAUCAGGGACGAAGCAAGUGACGGUACCUGAUGAAUAAGCCACGGCUAAAUACGUGCCAGAAGCCGGUGUACUACGUAGGUGGCAAUCGUUAUCCGGAUUUACUGGGUGUAAAGGUCGUGUAGGCGGGAAAGCAAGUCAGAUGUGAAAACCAUGGGCUCAACCUGUGGCCUGCAUUGGAAACUGGUUUUGUUGAGUACUGGAGAGGCAGACGGAAUUACUGGUGUAGCGGUGAAA